UGGGGCCACAUAAAGAUAACUUUUAAAAAAUUCCCUAGGAGCUUUGAUUUCAAAACAAAUGAUAAACAAGUAGCUUAGUUUUUGGGAGGCAGGAUAAAUCGGACUUGCAGAAAUUCUUUAACUUCAGAGAUACCUACAUUUCAGGAGAGGUAGUUGCUGGUCUUCCCCAGUAGAAAUACCUCAUGGUGGUUAAGAACGCAGACUCUGGGGCCAGACAAACAAGAACUGACCUCUGCUUACUUGUCUUAUGACCAUGGCACUUUAUGAAACUUCUCUGAGCUUCAGUACUUUACCUGUAUAACAGGGACAAAAGUUCUGUUUCAAGGAUUAUGUGAGAUGAUGCAGGGGUGGUAUAUUUGGCUCAGAGUAAGCACUAAAAUGUGGCUAUGGGCAUAGGAAGUGAAAGACUUAAUGUUUGCCUUUCCUUGUUUCCCAGGUACAGGUGAGGAGCACAGGGCAGGCACCAUUCUCUGAAGAGUGGGGAGAACAAAACUGAAGACUGUGCUCUAGUUUUCCUGAAGGUGCCUGAUUCACACACCAAAUUAUUUUGUAUGACCUUUGAAACAUACAACCGUCAGCCAACAUGCCAGGUGCCUGCAGAUCCAUGAGAGAGACCAACAAAAAUCACGUGAGCUGAAGCAAACAACUCAGCUGACAGGAUGGUGCUGUUUUAAGCCACUAGAUUCUAGGAUCUGUUUGUUACCCAGCAAAACCAAGUGGAUCUAGGUCCCCCCACACACCAACCCCUGUUACUUUCUUCUUCCUGCUUGGACAUAGACAAGAGACUGAAGAUAGAGCAAUAAACUUUUCAAAGAUCAUGAGAGGAC
rnacentral:lncRNA from 1 species